AUAUGACCCUUCGGGCUUCCUUUGUUCUGGGCUCAUGAACAGGAUCUCCUCCUCUGGCACUGUCGCAUCGUAUCGCGCUGUACGGAAGAAUUUGGUGAAAGUUGUGCUCUUACGUCCUGUAGUUGAUCCGCAAUUCAACAGCGUGUGCGCCGGAAGGACCGUUGGUGCAGUCGAUGCCGCGGCACCUGUGACACUAAAAGGAGCGUUUUUCGAGUACGCCUAGAAAGGGACGGCAAGAUUUUGUGAACCAGAGGCACCUCCACAUAUGCACCUGCGGCACUUCUGCAGCCUCAACAGCACGGAAAAGUACCUGAUGUGCAUGCUGUGACAAACUGCUAUAGGUAUGGCUGGACCUGGAGAAGAAGUGUAAGCAGACCAUGCUAUGUUGCUGAUCUGCGCUGAUCUCCACAUCCAAGUUGGUCCCGCGACAGUUGGGUACCAUUUUGCCUUGCUUC
rnacentral:lncRNA from 1 species